AAUCUUAGACAAUGGGGGCAACCCUGAUCCAGCCAUGCCGCGUGGGUGAAGAAGGCCUUAGGGUUGUAAAGCCCUUUCAGCGGGGAAGAUAAUGACGGUACCCGCAGAAGAAGCCCCGGCUAACUCCGUGCCAGCAGCCGCGGUAAUACGGAGGGGGCUAGCGUUGUUCGGAAUUACUGGGCGUAAAGCGCGCGUAGGCGGUCUGUUAAGUCAGGGGUGAAAGCCCGGAGCUCAACUCCGGAAUUGCCUUUGAUACUGGCAGGCUAGAGUCCGGGAGAGGUGAGUGGAAUUCCUAGUGUAGAGGUGAAAUUCGUAGAUAUUAGGAAGAACACCAGUGGCGAAGGCGGCUCACUGGCCCGGUACUGACGCUGAGGCGCGAAAGCGUGGGGAGCAAACAG
rnacentral:rRNA from 1 species